AUCCAGCUGACGAGUCCCAAAAAUAGGACGAAACGCAUUUUGUCCUGGAU
rnacentral:hammerhead_ribozyme from 1 species